rnacentral:rRNA from 1 species
UAACCUGGCAGGGCUACUAGCUGAGUUUAAGCAUAUCAAUAAGCGGAGGAAAAGAAACUUACAAAGAUUCCCCUAGUAACGAGUGCCCUUGGUGUUCGAAUUGGAGUCUUAAGAAGCAUCCUUAGUGGCGGACCAGGCUCAAGUCCCCUGGAAGGGGGCACAGGAGAGGGUGAGAGCCCCGUCGUGACUGGACCCUGUCAGACCACGAGGCGCUGUCGGCGAGUUAGGUUGUUUGGGAAUGCAGCCCAAAUCAGGCAGUAAUUUCUGUCCAAGGCUAAAUAUGGGUGAGAGACUGAUAGCAAACAAGUACCGUGACAGAAAGAUGGAAAGGACUUUGAAAAGAAAGUCAAGGAGUACGCAUUGAUCAGAUGCAGAACAGUGAGAGCCGGUCUGCUGAUCGACUUGUGGCACGAACCGAUGCGGAUUGCGAUGCCGGCCCAAGCCCAGGCUAUAGGUAUGCCAAUGGAGACGUCAUCAUCACGAUUGUGGUUGGCAACGUGCGUCGUCAUGGUGUGCUUCGAUAUCUAUGCGCUCCUCACAUCGACCUGUGGGCUCCCCAUUCGGUCAGUGAACCCGUAAGGUGCAAGGAAGCUAAGUGGCGGGAUCCCCAUGCCGGUUGCACCGCCAAUCGACCUUGAUCUUCUGAGAAGGGUUCGAGUGAGAGCAUGCCUAUCGAGACCUGAAAGAUGGUGAACUAUGCCUGAGGAAGGCGAAGCCAGAUGAAACUCUGGUGAAGGCCCAUAGUGAUACUAACGUGCAAAAUGUUCAUCUAACUUGGGUAUAGGGGCGAAAGAAUAAUUGAACCAUCUAGUAGCUGGUUCCCUCAGAAGUUUCCCUCAGGAUAGCUGGAGCCUACGGACGAGCUCUAUCGAGUAAAGCCAAUGAUUAGAGGCAUCAGGGGUGCAAUGCCCUCAACCUAUUUUCAAACUUUAAAUAGGUAGGAUAGCGCGGCUGCUCAGUUAAGCCACGCUAUGGAAUUGAGAGCUCCGAGUGGACCACUUUUGGUAAGCAGAACUGGUGAUACAGGAUGAACCGGAAGCUGGAUUACGGUGCCUAACUGUGUGCUAACCUAGAACACAAAAAGGGUGUUAGUCGUUUAAGACAGUAGGACGGUGGUCAUGGAAGUCGAAAUCUGCUUAGGAGUGUGUAACAACUCACCUGCCAAAUCAACUAGCCCCGAAAAUGGGUGGUACUAAAGCGCGCGACCUAUACCCGGCCGUCGGGGCAAGAGCUAGGCCUCGAUAAGUAGGAGGGCAUGGCGGUCGCUAGAAAACCUGGGGCACGAGCCCAGGCGAAACGGCCGUCAGUGCAGAUCUUGGUGGUAGUAUCAAAUAUUAAAAUGAGAACUUUGAAGGCCAAAGAAGGGAAAGGUUCCAUGUGAAUGGCACUUGUACAUGGGUUAGUUGAUCCUAAGAAAUGGGGAAAGCCCAUCUAACAGAGUGACCGGCAUGAAUUUUGAAAGGGAAUCGAGUUAAAAUUCCUGAACCGGGAUGUGGCAGCUGAUGACAAUGUUAAGAAGUCUAGAGACGUCGACGGGGGUCUUGGGAAGAGUUAUCUUUUAUGUUUAACAGCUUGCCCACCCUGGAAAUGGCUCAGCCGUAGGUAGGGUCCAGCUGCUGGAAGAGCACAGCAUGUCGUGUGGUGUCCGGUGUGCCCCCGGUGGCCCUUGAAAAUUCGAAGAAUCGAGUGCUUCCCAUGCUCGGUCCUACUCAUAACCGCAUCAGGUCUCCAAGGGGAACAACCUCUGGCCAAUGGAACAAUGUAGGUAAGGGAAGUUGGCAAAAUGGAUCCAUAAAAGGAUUGGCUCUGAGGACUGGGCACGACGGUCCCAGUCCCGAACCCGUCGGCUAUCAGUGGACUGCUCAAGCUACUCCCGCAGCGAGAGUGGUUCACCGCAUGUCGACCGAGGGAUGGACUGGGAAAAGGUCCCGUUGGGGGCCCUUCCCCAGGAGUCGAAUAGUCGACUCAGAACUGGUAUGGACAAGGGGAAUCUGACUGUUUAAUUAAAACAAAGCAUUGCGAUGGUCCCUACGGAUGCUCAAGCAAUGUGAUUUCUACCCAGUGCUCUGAAUGUCAAAGUGAAGAAAUUCAUCCAAGUGCAGGUAAAUGGCGGGAGUAACUAUGACUCUCUUAAGGUAGCCAAAUGCCUCGUCAUCUAAUUAGUAACAUGCAUGAAUGGAUUAAGGAGAUUCCCACUGUCCCUAUCUACUAUCCAGUGAUACCACAGCUAAGGGAAUGGGCCUGGCAGAAUCAGCGAGGAAAGAAUACCCUAUUGAGCUUGACUCUAGUCCAACUUUUUGAAAUGACUUGAGAGGUGUAGUAUAAGUGGGAGCCGAAAACGGCGAAAGUGAAAUACCACUACUUUUAAUGUUAUGUAACUUAUUCUGUGAAUCGAAAGUAGGGCACUACCCCUCUUUUUAGACGCAAGGCCUACCUCGACUGACUGAUCCGGGUGGAAGACAUUGUCAGGUGGGAAGGUUGGCUGGGGCGACACAUCUGUUAAAAGAUAACGCAGGUGUCCUAUGAUGAGCUCAACCAGAACAUAAAUCUCGUGUGGAACAAAAGGGUAAAAGCUCGUUUGAUUCUGAUUUCUAGUAUGAAUACGAACUGUGAAAGCGUGGCCUAUCAAUCCUUUAGACCUACAGAAUUUGAAGCUAGAGGUGUCAAAAAAGUUACCACAAGGAUAACUGGCUUGUGGCAGCCAAGCGUUCAUAGCGACGUUGCUUUUUGAUCCUUCGAUGUUGGCUCUUCUUAUCAUUGUGAAGCAGAAUUCACCAAGUGUUGGAUUGUUCACCCACCAAUAGGGAACAUGAACUGGGUUUAGACCGUUGUGAGAUAGGUUAGUUCUACCCUACUGAUGAUAGUGUCGCAAUAAUAAACUUAAGCAUAAUUGAGUGAAUGAAUAAAA